rnacentral:rRNA from 1 species
AGUGAACGCUGGCGGUAGGCCUAACACAUGCAAGUCGAACGAGUGGCGGACGGGUGAGUAAUACAUCGGAAUCUGCCUGGUGGAGGGGGAUAACGUCUGGAAACUUACGCUAAUACCGCAUACCAUCGGAUGUGCCGAGAUGGGAUUAGCUAGUGGGUGGGGUAAAGGCUCACCAAGGCGACGAUCCGUAGCUGGUCUGAGAGGAUGAUCAGCCACACUGGAACUGAGACACGGUCCAGACUCCUACGGGAGGCAGCAGUGGGGAAUAUUGCACAAUGGGCGCAAGCCUGAUCCAGCCAUACCGCGUGGGUGAAGAAGGCCUUCGGGUUGUAAAGCCCUUUUGUCGGGAAAGCGGUACCCAAAGAAUAAGCACCGGCUAACUUCGUGCCAGCAGCCGCGGUAAUAC